rnacentral:tRNA from 1 species
UCCUGUGUAGCUCAGUAGGUAAAGAAUCUGCCUGCGACGCAGGAGACCUGGGUUCAAUUCCUGGGUCAGGGA